GGCCUGAAACCCUCUGAGGCGGGUGGCCGGCAGAAGGGCCCCCUCCAAGGGGUCCCCAACCCCUGGGCUGUGGACCAGUACCAAUCCAUGGCCUGUUAGGAACCAGGCCACACAGCAGGAGGCGAGCGGCAGGCAAGCGAGCAUCACCACCUGAGCUCUGCUUCCUGCCAGAGACAUUGCACUCCACAUAGACUCGCUCUGUACCUAGUCUGGAAUGCAGUGGUGUGAUCACGGCUCAGUGCAGCCUCAAACUCCUGGGCUCAAGCAAUCCUACUGCCUCAGCCUCCUGAGUAGCUGGAACCACAGGCAUAUGCCACCAUGCCCAGAUGAGGGAUGCAACGUUAAAAGAUGUUAAAAUGACAUAUCCACAAGAGACAGUCAGAAAAACAUAGAGACUGUCUUACUACAAUGUUUCCCUCUGACUAUCAAGAUGCUGAAAACCUUUGAGAAGAAGCAGGGGCCCAGAUGUAAACUGAUCUGAAACUUGUUCAAAUUUACCACCAAAGCAACUCUGGGAAGCAGUACAAAUACAGAGUUCCAUGAGACAACACUUAAGAGUUCCUCUUGGACAGGAAAGCACAUGCAAACACUGUCCAACAUGAGUAUUCAGACAUGCAGAGAAAUCUUAUACCAAGUAUAACCAACCAUAAAUGGGCAAUAUAGCAUUUUUACUGAAAAGGUAAAUAUAGCCUAAUUUACUCUGCUUAAGCAUGAUGCUCAGAUAGGAGAACUAAUCUACCGUGUCCACAGACCAGUGAAUUUACUGUGGGGAAACAGUAAACAGUUGAGGUGACGUCUAUGGUCUAAGGCCUGCAGAAAUUGAGCAAUGGUAAAGCCUCAAGAGGAGAAUGUUACAGGUUAAGAGAGAAAAGGAGCAGGGUAGUGUACCCCUUAGUUUGCUCGACAGAUGAACAGUCUACAAAGUAGAAACAUGACAUUCAGGAGAGCCAGGCACCAGAAGACCCAGAGGGCCAGAGAUCAUUAAAAGGAAAAAGAAAUCAGGAGUGGGAAUCUCAGCCACACUCCCAAAGGUGGAGUGUUCAAGUGCAGGAUGCAGAGAAAGCAAGAUGCACACAUUCUAGACUGUAAGUCAACAAGCAACUUCUCAUCAUUAAAUAAGAAGUGCCUAUUAAAAAAA
rnacentral:lncRNA from 1 species